AUGCCAAUACCCUCCCAGCUGCUGCCGUUCCUCCUUGCAGCAGCGGUGGUGGCGGCGGAGGCUCACCUGAUCUUGCCUGCGUUUGCUGAACACCAAGGACGUGAAGAGCAGGAGCAGCAGCAGGCGGUGGUGGAACGUCCGGGCUGCCAGGACAUGUGCGGCAACAUCAGCAUUCCCUUCCCCUUCGGCAUGGGGAAGCCCAGGUGCUUCCUUCCUGGCUUCAAGGUCACAUGCGACACCUCCUCGUCGAAUCGCCCCCGCCUGUUCCUUGCGUACAACAUCAGCGGGCCAUUCCAGCGGACGAGCGCCCUGAACCACACGUCCACCAAGGGUGGCACUGGUUCCGGCGGGAACACCAACGCUGUGGAGCUCAUGGACAUAUCAGUUGCUGACAACGAGGCCCGAGUAUACAUCGGGGUCAGCUCCGACUGCAGCACAAAUGGUAGUAGGCAUUUCCUCGCGAAGUUUCAAGACAUAGUCUUGGGCGACGAUGGCCCGUUCCUCCUGUCAGCGACGCACAAUGUUCUCAUCGGUGUCGGCUCCAACGUCGAAUCCAUGAUGGUGACCUCAUUUGGGGAGAGGGGGAAGGAGACGAAGGCCUACAUGCCUUCCUGUCUUUCCAACCUCAUGCGGCGACUCCAGUACGCGACAGACGGUACGUGCUCCGGCUUGGGAUGUUGUCUGGCUGCCUUGCCCCCGAAUGCGCCCCCACUGACCAAUUUUGGAGUCGGGUUCAUGCCCCGGCCCAACUAUCUGUGGAAAACCAAUCCAUGCUUCUACGGCAUGUUGGCGGAGAAAUCUCGGUACAACUUCUCUACGCAUGACUUGAACGGCAUUGAGGUGCUAUACCCGGAGGGCGUACCUGUUGUGCUGGAUUUCGCCAUCAGGAAUCUUGGUUGGUGUCCACCGGAAGGACAGCAGCAACCUCCGGGCUACGCGUGUGUCAGCAGCAACAGCACUUGUGUCAACACCACCAGAGGCAAUGACUAUGUCUGCAAGUGCUUGGAGCAUUACCACGGCAACCCCUACAUCACUGAUGGAUGCCAUGACAUCAAUGAGUGCAAACUCCCUGAUUUGUAUCCUUGCUCGGUUGAUGGGGUCUGUGGCAACAGGUUGGAAGGCUAUGACUGUCCAUGCAAAGCAGGAAUGAAAGGCGAUGGCAAAACCGGACACUGUGUAGAAAAUUUCCCCCUAGCAGCAAAGGUGGUUGUAGGCCUUGCUGCUUGUAUUGUUGCACUUGUCCUCAUGGUUAUGGCCCAUCAACUCCUAACACUCAAGAGGUUCCAUGAACAAAAUGGUGGACCAGUACUAAAAGGUGUAAAGAAUAUAAAGAUAUAUAGAAGGAAAGAAAUGAAACAAAUUACAAAUAACUACAGUUGUGUCAUUGGAGAAGGAAACUUCGGGAAGGUUUAUAUGGGGACUCUAGAAGAUAAACAACAAGUGGCUAUAAAGAGGUCCAUCAAAGUUGACAAGAAUAUGAAGGCGGAAUUCACUGGGGAGGUUAUAGUACAAUCUGAGAUGAGACACAAGAACAUUGCAAGGCUCCUAGGUUGUUGCUUAGAGCUGGAUGUUCCAAUGUUGGUAUACGAAUAUGUAUCAAGAGGGAGUUUGUAUGAUGCUCUAUUUGGAUUGAGGCGUGUACAUAUCAUAUCGGUAGAUAUGCGCCUACAAAUUGCUGCUGGGUCAGCUGAAGGCCUAACAUACAUGCAUUCAGCAGGGGAGUGUACAAUCCGUCACGGUGAUGUUAAAUCUGCCAAUAUUCUUCUUGAUGAAAAUUUCUUCCCUAAAGUUUCAGACUUUGGUACCUCGAGGUUGCUCGCAGGAGGAAAGACUGAGAAGACUGAACGUGUCAUUGGGGACAUGAGUUACAUAGAUCCAAUAUAUAUGGGCCAGGGGAUUGUUACACAGAAGAGUGAUGUCUACAGCUUUGGGGUUGUUCUCAUAGAGCUUAUCACGAGGAGGCCCGCAACAUACUCUAACAAGAGGAACUAUGUUACAAGCUUUGUCGAAGCGUAUCAAGAUAAAAGAGCAAGAAACUUGAUUGACAAUGAUAUCAUAAGCGAGGUGGAUAUUAAACUCUUGGAAAUGGUCAGUGGAGUUGCCGUGGAGUGUGUAAAAUUUAAUCCCGAAGAACGCCUAGAUAUGAAACAAGUAGAGCACCGUCUCCUUGAAAUUAUUGGUCAAGGCGUGCAGGAUGGACAAGGGAGAAACUACCAGGCAGAUCUCAGUCCUGCGCCAGAUGAUGUUGCCUUGCUUAAGUCUUGGGGAGAAUGA
rnacentral:rRNA from 1 species